CCGAAGCCGGUGGAGUAACCUUUUAGGAGCUAGCCGUCGAAGGUGGGACAAAUGAUUGGGGUGAAGUCGUAACAAGGUAGCCGUAUCGGAAGGUGCGGCUGGAUCACCUCCUUUCUAA
rnacentral:rRNA from 1 species